AUUGAACGCUGGCGGCAGGCUUAACACAUGCAAGUCGAGCGGGGACUUCGGUCCUAGCGGCGAACGGGUGAGGAAUGCUUGGGAAUCUGCCCAGUAGCGGGGGAUAACGUUUCGAAAGGAACGCUAAUACCGCAUACGCCCUACGGGGGAAAGGGGGGGAUCUUCGGACCUCUCACUAUUGGAUGAGCCCAAGUCGGAUUAGCUAGUUGGUGGGGUAAAGGCCUACCAAGGCGACGAUCCGUAGCUGGUCUGAGAGGAUGAUCAGCCACACUGGAACUGAGACACGGUCCAGACUCCUACGGGAGGCAGCAGUGGGGAAUAUUGGACAAUGGGCGAAAGCCUGAUCCAGCCAUGCCGCGUGUGUGAGGAAGGCCUUCGGGUCGUAAAGCACUUUAAGCGAGGAGGAAUGGCUGAGGGUUAAUAACCUUCAGCAGUGACGUUACUCGCAGAAUAAGCACCGGCUAACUCUGUGCCAGCCGCCGCCGUAAGAC
rnacentral:rRNA from 1 species